UACGGAGGGGGCUAGCGUUGUUCGGAAUUACUGGGCGUAAAGCGUACGUAGGCGGCUUUGUAAGUUAGAUGUGAAAGCCCGGGGCUCAACUCCGGAAUUGCCUUUAAGACUGCAUCGCUAGAAUUGUGGAGAGGUAAGUGGAAUUCCGAGUGUAGAGGUGAAAUUCGUAGAUAUUCGGAAGAACACCAGUGGCGAAGGCGACUUACUGGACACAUAUUGACGCUGAGGUGCGAAAGCGUGGGGAGCAAACAGG
rnacentral:rRNA from 1 species